GACGAACGCUGGCGGCGUGCUUAACACAUGCAAGUCGAACGGAGAAUUUAUUUCGGUAAAUUCUUAGUGGCGAACGGGUGAGUAACGCGUGGGCAACCUGCCCUUCAGAUGGGGACAACAUCCCGAAAGGGGUGCUAAUACCGAAUACGAUCACGCUGCCGCAUGGCGGUGUGAUGAAAGAUGGCCUCUAUUUAUAAGCUAUCGCUGAGGGAUGGGCCUGCGUCUGAUUAGCUAGUUGGUGGGGUAACGGCCUACCAAGGCGAUGAUCAGUAGCCGGUCUGAGAGGAUGAACGGCCACAUUGGGACUGAGACACGGCCCAAACUCCUACGGGAGGCAGCAGUGGGGAAUAUUCCGCAAUGGACGAAAGUCUGACGGAGCAACGCCGCGUGAGUGAUGAAGGUUUUCGGACUGUAAAGCUCUGUUGUUUAGGACGAAAGUGCCUGUUGCAAAUAGUUGCAGGUAUUGACGGUACUGAACGAGGAAGCCACGGCUAACUACGUGCCAGCAGCCGCCGUAAUAC
rnacentral:rRNA from 1 species